GAUGACUAUGGUGGAAGUGUCUGCUUUUCCGUGCAGCCACCUUUGUUCCCUCUGCAAAAGAUCUGUGUGGCACAAAAGGAAAGAGAGGAUGGGCAAGGAGAUGGCAGGACAAGCCCAGUGUGGGAAGAAGCAGCAGAACACUUCCUUCAAGACAGACUCCAGGUUGCCUACCCUUACAGCAGGAAAUUUACUUUUAUCUGGAGUUGUCCUUCAGAAGAAUCCAUUUGAAAAGACUCAAUGGACUAUAAAAGAGGGAGGUACAGAAUCCCAAAUUAUCUAUCUUUCACCUAAGAAGACAAAGGUACCAGGCCUUUGACUUUAGGGGAUAGAUCCUGACCCAGGAGAUCUGUCAGCCACCUUGAUGGAAAUGUGGACAGGGCUGGAUGUUUCAGAACACAUGUUUGAGGGGAAAUUCGGGGCUACGGAGAACGUGAGGUCACCUUACCAGGCUGGUGGCAUCCAGCGGAAGUCUGUGGCAUUACAGGUAGCUGUUACAUACCAUCUAGCCAGCCUGGUGUUGAUGAACCAUUCAGUUGUGGAUGGACCAGUCCGGUGGUGAUGGGCCAUUAAGGGAAAUCAGCUUUUCAGUGAGUCUUCCUUUGGAUGCCCCAGACAGCAAGGAGCCAAUGGCCACCCCUGUGACUCAGCAAACAUGCAAGGGCAUGUGAUAUGGACAUGUGACCUCAGACUCCAUCUUUCUGGCAGCUAUUGCUCUGACACAAAGGGAUCAUACCAACUUUGCAGGAGGACAUCCCAGAAAGCCAUGCAUGUGACUAAUGGUAACAAAUGCACUCUCUCCCUCAACUUUGUAGAGCAC